GGUUAAGUUAAUAAGGGCGCACGGUGGAUGCCUUGGCACUAGGAGCCGACGAAGGACGUGACAAACGACGAUAUGCCUUGGGUAGCUGUAAGUAAGCGAUGAUCCAGGGAUUUCCGAAUGGGGGAACCCAACAGGUAAUACCUGUUACCCACAUCUGUUAAGGAUGUGAGGAGGAAGACGCAGUGAACUGAAACAUCUAAGUAGCUGCAGGAAGAGAAAGCAAAAGCGAUUGCCUUAGUAGCGGCGAGCGAAACGGCAGAAGGGCAAACCGAAGAGUUUACUCUUCGGGGUUGUAGGACUGCAAUGUGGACUCAAAGAUUAUAGAAGAAUGAUUUGGGAAGAUCAGCCAAAGAGAGUAAUAGCCUCGUAUUUAAAAUAGUCUUUGUACUUAGCAGUAUCCUGAGUACGGCGGGACACGUGAAAUCCCGUCGGAAUCUGGGAGGACCAUCUCCCAACCCUAAAUACUCCCUAGUGACCGAUAGUGAACCAGUACCGUGAGGGAAAGGUGAAAAGCACCCCGGGAGGGGAGUGAAAUAGAACCUGAAACCGUGUGCCUACAACAAGUUCGAGCCCGUUAAUGGGUGAGAGCGUGCCUUUUGUAGAAUGAACCGGCGAGUUACGUUAUGAUGCGAGGUUAAGUUGAAGAGACGGAGCCGUAGGGAAACCGAGUCUGAAUAGGGCGCCUUAGUAUCAUGACGUAGACCCGAAACCAUGUGACCUACCCAUGAGCAGGUUGAAGGUGCGGUAAGACGCACUGGAGGACCGAACCAGGGCACGUUGAAAAGUGCUUGGAUGACUUGUGGGUAGCGGAGAAAUUCCAAACGAACUUGGAGAUAGCUGGUUCUCUCCGAAAUAGCUUUAGGGCUAGCGUCGACAUUAGAGAUUCUUGGAGGUAGAGCACUGUUUGGGUGAGGGGUCCAUCCCGGAUUACCAAUCUCAGAUAAACUCCGAAUGCCAAUGAAUUAUGGUCGGCAGUCAGACUGCGAGUGCUAAGAUCCGUAGUCGAAAGGGAAACAGCCCAGACCACCAGCUAAGGUCCCAAAAUAAUUGUUAAGUGGAAAAGGAUGUGGGGUUGCACAGACAACUAGGAUGUUAGCUUAGAAGCAGCUAUUCAUUCAAAGAGUGCGUAAUAGCUCACUAGUCGAGUGACCCUGCGCCGAAAAUGUACCGGGGCUAAAACAAUUUACCGAAGCUGUGGAUACCUUUAUAGGUAUGGUAGGAGAGCGUUCUAUGUGUGAUGAAGGUAUACCGUGAGGAGUGCUGGAACGCAUAGAAGUGAGAAUGCCGGUAUGAGUAGCGAAAGACAGGUGAGAAUCCUGUCCACCGUAAGACUAAGGUUUCCAGGGGAAGGCUCGUCCGCCCUGGGUUAGUCGGGACCUAAGGAGAGACCGAAAGGUGUAUCCGAUGGACAACAGGUUGAUAUUCCUGUACUAGAGUAUGUAGUGAUGGAGGGACGCAGUAGGCUAACUAAAGCAGACGAUUGGAAGAGUCUGUCUAAGCAGUGAGGUGUGAAUUGAGUCAAAUGCUUAAUUCUAUAACAUUGAGCUGUGAUGGGGAGCGAAGUUUAGUAGCGAAGUUAGUGACGUCACACUGCCAAGAAAAGCUUCUAGCGUUUAAACAUACUCUACCCGUACCGCAAACCGACACAGGUAGUCGAGGCGAGUAGCCUCAGGUGAGCGAGAGAACUCUCGUUAAGGAACUCGGCAAAAUGACCCCGUAACUUCGGGAGAAGGGGUGCUGACUUAAAGUCAGCCGCAGUGAAUAGGCCCAAGCAACUGUUUAUCAAAAACACAGCUCUCUGCUAAAUCGUAAGAUGAUGUAUAGGGGGUGACGCCUGCCCGGUGCUGGAAGGUUAAGAGGAGUGCUUAGCGUAAGCGAAGGUAUGAAUUGAAGCCCCAGUAAACGGCGGCCGUAACUAUAACGGUCCUAAGGUAGCGAAAUUCCUUGUCGGGUAAGUUCCGACCCGCACGAAAGGCGUAAUGAUUUGGGCACUGUCUCAACGAGAGACUCGGUGAAAUUUUAGUACCUGUGAAGAUGCAGGUUACCCGCGACAGGACGGAAAGACCCCAUGGAGCUUUACUGCAGUUUGAUAUUGAGUGUCUGUACCACAUGUACAGGAUAGGUAGGAGUCUAAGAGAUCGGGACGCCAGUUUCGAAGGAGACGCUGUUGGGAUACUACCCUUGUGUUAUGGCCACUCUAACCCAGAUAGGUGAUCCCUAUCGGAGACAGUGUCUGACGGGCAGUUUGACUGGGGCGGUCGCCUCCUAAAAGGUAACGGAGGCGCCCAAAGGUUCCCUCAGAA
rnacentral:rRNA from 1 species